CAGACCUAUAAUCGGAAAAGACUACCCGCUGAGUUUAAGCAUAUCACUAAGCGGAG
rnacentral:rRNA from 1 species